AGAGUUUGAUCCUGGCUCAGGAUGAACGCUAGCUACAGGCUUAACACAUGCAAGUCGAGGGGAAACGACAUCGAAAGCUUGCUUUUGAUGGGCGUCGACCGGCGCACGGGUGAGUAACGCGUAUCCAACCUGCCCACCACUUGGGGAUAACCUUGCGAAAGUAAGACUAAUACCCAAUGAUAUCUCUAGAAGACAUCUGAAAGAGAUUAAAGAUUUAUCGGUGAUGGAUGGGGAUGCGUCUGAUUAGCUUGUUGGCGGGGUAACGGCCCACCAAGUCGACGAUCAGUAGCCGGACUGAGAGGUUGACCGGCCACAUUGGGACUGAGAUGCGGCCCAGACUCCUACGGGAGGCAGCA
rnacentral:rRNA from 1 species